GUCGAGCUCGGUAGUGUGGGCUUGUAAUCCAAGUGGAGACGACAAGAUGAUGGGACGUUGGGUCGAUCUCAUUGGGCCGGGUUUGGUUGGGCUUAUUAUGGCCUGCCCAUUCCAAGUUGGGAGUUGAAGCAUGCGGGCUUGAGCGAAGGCUCAGGUCACGUGUUUCUUAUAGUGGGGGAGACUGCGUGAGGCUGGUUUCACAGAGCAGCGUACACCUCCCGCUCUUGACGGUGGAAGGAUAACGGGCCUUCGCCUUCCAAGCCCACUAUGAUCCAAUAAGCCGAUUCCGAUUGGACCAUCAUCUUU
rnacentral:SRP_RNA from 1 species